rnacentral:rRNA from 1 species
AAACUUUCAACAACGGAUAUGUUGGUUGUGGCAUAGAUGAAGAACGCAGCGAAAUGCGAUAAGUAAUGUGAAUUGCAGAAUUCAGUGAAUCAUCGAAUCUUUGAACCCACAUUGCGCCCCUUGGUAUUCCGAGGGGCAUGCCUGUUUGAGCGUCAUUU